rnacentral:rRNA from 1 species
UNCNAUACUGCAGUCGAGCGGACUUUAAAGCUUGCUUUUAAAGUUAGCGGCGGACGGGUGAGUAACACGUGGGCAACCUGCCUGUAAGACUGGGAUAACUUCGGGAAACCGGAGCUAAUACCGGAUAAUCCUUUUCCUCUCAUGAGGAAAAGCUGAAAGACGGUUUACGCUGUCACUUACAGAUGGGCCCGCGGCGCAUUAGCUAGUUGGUGAGGUAACGGCUCACCAAGGCGACGAUGCGUAGCCGACCUGAGAGGGUGAUCGGCCACACUGGGACUGAGACACGGCCCAGACUCCUACGGGAGGCAGCAGUAGGGAAUCUUCCGCAAUGGACGAAAGUCUGACGGAGCAACGCCGCGUGAGUGAUGAAGGUUUUCGGAUCGUAAAACUCUGUUGUUAGGGAAGAACAAGUACAAGAGUAACUGCUUGUACCUUGACGGUACCUAACCAGAAAGCCACGGCUAACUACGUGCCAGCAGCCGCGGUAAUACGUAGGUGGCAAGCGUUGUCCGGAAUUAUUGGGCGUAAAGCGCGCGCAGGCGGUCCUUUAAGUCUGAUGUGAAAGCCCACGGCUCAACCGUGGAGGGUCAUUGGAAACUGGGGGACUUGAGUGCAGAAGAGAAGAGUGGAAUUCCACGUGUAGCGGUGAAAUGCGUAGAGAUGUGGAGGAACACCAGUGGCGAAGGCGACUCUUUGGUCUGUAACUGACGCUGAGGCGCGAAAGCGUGGGGAGCANACAGGAUUAGAUACCCUGGUAGUCCACGCCGUAAACGAUGAGUGCUAAGUGUUANAGGGUUUCCGCCCUUUNNUGCUGCAGNNAACGCAUUAAGCACUCCGCCUGGGGAGUACGGUCGUAAGNNU